AGGAAACUGAAGCUCUGAGAGCAGUAGCUCCCCUGAGCCGUGCAGCUGGAGAGGGCUGCGCCAACAGCAGAGCUGGGGCUCUUUGCAGUCCCAUUUUCCACUGCUUUGGUCAGGGAGUGAGUCCCCUGAUGUCAUCCGAGGAUAUGAGGCAUCGCUAAAUCUGGCCAUCCCCUGAAGCACCCAGCCUCACCGACUUCCUGAAGCGUGGAUGAACGCUGCUGCCACAAAUGUGCUGUGACAACCGCUGACAAGGAGAAUGGUUCCAAGAAGUGACAAGUUGAAGGUCAUGAUCCUUUUGCUGACACAGAGCCUGGCACAUGGAGGCACCAAAUGCAUGUUAGUCUAGGCACUGUGGAGGAGCUCAGAUUGUGUUUGUUGAUUGACUGAGUGAGCAAAUGAAGAACGACUAAACCAAGCACAAAGCUGGGCGUCCUAAGGUGGAGCUGGGCUAAGGAAAGUGACUGUCUCUAGGGCCUUCACAAUUGAGGCAGGACCUUAUCCACCAUUUGACCAGGGUGAGGAACUGUGCAGGGCACCCAGGUGUGACCCAACCAUGUCCAUUGUUCCUCUCUGUCCCUUUGAUGGACAGCCUGUACCCACGACACUCUUUCCAGAUGCUGCCUGCAUCCUAGUUCCCUGUCCUAUCACCUCUGCAUGGAAAGAUGUGGAGUUGGCCACAUUGAUCCCAACACCAAUGGGAUCACCUGAGGAUGGAUCUGGUGACUGACCUUGUGCCUUCUCACAGUACAGGCUUUGGGAUCCACAGCAACCCAGGCAGAGUUUGUAACAGUGCAGGUUCCCAGGCCCCAUCCCAGACUGCCUGAGUCACUCUGGGCCUGAACCCAGGAAGAGUUAACCAUCUGGAGACUGUAGAUUGUAACAAUUUCCUUGGGUGACUUCCAGGCAGGCUAAAGUGUAAGAAAGGGUGCCAUGAAUCAGCAAAACAGCCAGCACUUCAACUUGCAACCUGAGCAUCCCACAGGGGUCCCAGCCAUCGUAGUGCCAGCUACAUUUGCUGAAGUGUGAGGCCUGGACUGCAGGCAGGCUCCAGGCCAACCCUUCCUUGCAUGACUUGCUCAGGGAUCUGUAUGACAUGCUGGUGCCAUUCUCUCCAUUUUACAGAUGAGGGACCAGAGGCCCAGAGCACUGAAGUACCUAGCUAAAAAGCUGGAACACCAUAUUACCCUGCCUCCCUGACAGCUUUCCUCCAUCCAAGUGGCCCAACUGUGGUUCAGAAAAUACAGCCUCAUUAAAGACAGGUGCUUGAAACCA
rnacentral:lncRNA from 10 species